rnacentral:rRNA from 1 species
GAUGAACGCUGGCGACGUGCCUAAUACAUGCAAGUCGAGCGAACAGACGAGGAGCUUGCUCCUCUGACGUUAGCGGCGGACGGGUGAGUAACACGUGGAUAACCUACCUAUAAGACUGGGAUAACUUCGGGAAACCGGAGCUAAUACCGGAUAAUAUAUUGAACCGCAUGGUUCAAUAGUGAAAGACGGUUUUGCUGUCACUUAUAGAUGGAUCCGCGCCGCAUUAGCUAGUUGGUAAGGUAACGGCUUACCAAGGCGACGAUGCGUAGCCGACCUGAGAGGGUGAUCGGCCACACUGGAACUGAGACACGGUCCAGACUCCUACGGGAGGCAGCAGUAGGGAAUCUUCCGCAAUGGGCGAAAGCCUGACGGAGCAACGCCGCGUGAGUGAUGAAGGUCUUCGGAUCGUAAAACUCUGUUAUUAGGGAAGAACAAAUGUGUAAGUAACUAUGCACGUCUUGACGGUACCUAAUCAGAAAACCACGGCUAACUACGU